rnacentral:rRNA from 1 species
AUGAACGCUGGCGGCGUGCCUAAUCCCUGCCAGUCGAGCGAACAGACGAGGAGCUUGCUCCUCUGACGUUAGCGGCGGACGGGUGAGUAACACGUGGAUAACCUACCUAUAAGACUGGGAUAACUUCGGGAAACCGGAGCUAAUACCGGAUAAUAUAUUGAACCGCAUGGUUCAAUAGUGAAAGACGGUUUUGCUGUCACUUAUAGAUGGAUCCGCGCCGCAUUAGCUAGUUGGUAAGGUAACGGCUUACCAAGGCAGCGAUGCGUAGCCGACCUGAGAGGGUGAUCGGCCACACUGGAACUGAGACACGGUCCAGACUCCUACGGGAGGCAGCAGUAGGGAAUCUUCCGCAAAGGGCGAAAGCUUGACGGAGCAACGCCGCGUGAGUGAUGAAGGUCUUCGGAUCGUAAAACUCUGUUAUUAGGGAAGAACAAAUGUGUAAGUAACUAUGCACGUCUUGACGGUACCUAAUCAGAAAGCCACGGCUAACUACGUG